UGAUCCGGUAAAUCGGUACAGAGACGGGGUGCCUGACAUCGUCAGAUUGCUACCAUUGUACUGUUGCACGGUAGCCCCCUGUAGCGAAAGGGAAUCGGGUUAAUAUUCCCGACCCUGCCCACGGAGAUUGAUGCAUUCUGGCUCCGGUCAGUUUGUAUCUAGCGCGGUAACGAAUCGACCUCGGAGACGUCGGCGAGAGUUCUGGGAAGAGUUCUCUUUUCUUUGUUAGGAGUGCACCAUCCCUGGAACGGUUGUCGGAGAUAGGGACUAGCCUCCGUAAAGCACCACCCUUCUUGUGGUGUCCGGAACGCUCUUGUCGGCCCUUGAAAUCGAGCGA
rnacentral:rRNA from 1 species